GCGCUGCAGCGGCGGCUGGUGGCGGACAGCGGGCGGCUGGGCGGCCCCUCCCGCGGCGGGAAUCGCCCGCGCUCCUCCCUGUGGGGGUGGCGGCCCGGAACCCCAGCCGGCCCUGCAGAAGUCUCCGCCGCCCCACGGACGACCUGCUGCCACGGGGCCCAGGCCAGAGUCGCUUGGGGUGACUGUAUCAACGAGCCACCUUGUUUUGUUAAACACACACUCUGCAGUUUCAGGCAACACCUGCCGGUUGCCGUGGCGUUUCUGUGUUGACAGAAACAGAGACACACCGAACCCUUUGAUUUGAGUUGCAGAUUGUGGAUGUGGGUGCCUCACUGCUUUAUCCCGGAAGGAAGGGUGGAGGGCUGCCCCCGCCAUACUCACUUUCCUUCUCAGGUCGCCUGACUUUGGCUAAACAACAGUGUCUGUGUAAGCCUGAGCCACGCGGCGUCCUUUCCCCCUGCCAGGUGACGUGCAAGCAUUUUCAGGAGGGUGAGCAGCUUCUUUAUGCCCCAGGGACCACUUGGGCACACCCUUCUCUCUCUCCAGAGCAGCUGGAACCAUGGAGCUCUGCCCUCUGGUUGCUCGUGUCAGCUCCAAAUCGUGCCAGACGCACGGACGACCGAGAGUGAACUCUCCCCCAGGAGCGCCAUGCAGGAGUCCCAGCAAGAGGAAGAAAGGAACCAGGGGACCGAGAAGACAGCAACCAGGUGUUUGAACCUGACAAGAGGGUUUUAGAACGAUGCUGAGCAUUUGUGCAACCACUGCUUCUCCAUGGGACAUUUGGGGACUCCAGUUGGGUGGGCCCACCCUGAAUAACUCUCAUCCAUACUGCAUCCCCAGAGCAGCCCCUGGGGAUUUGGAAUCCUCCAGCACCUGAAGCACAAGGGAGAGAGCUCAGAAGGCCCUUCUAUUUUUCCUGAACUGAAGAACUUUCAGAACUCUGCAAACCGGAUUGUGUGAAGCUACCAGGAAGGAGGUCCGAGUACCCAGAAACCACCACGGAGAUGACCUCACAAAGAAACCAGUGUGGUGGGGCUCCUGGAGUGCUCACGGGGGCGUUCUCCCUAGAGGGGCAGGCCAACAGGCGCCUUGGCUUGCUUGGUUGAGGUGAACUAAAAUAGCCUGGGUGGUUAGAAAAGAAGUGUGUGUGGAUGAAAGUAUUCAAAUGCUGACAGAUGGACUGGCGGGCUCCCCUCCUGCUGGCCUGGCAGCUUCUUUAUUGAAAGCCUUGCCUGGGCGAUGGAUCUCAGCAGCUCUGUAUGAUUCUGGGAAUAUAAACCCAGGCAGAUGUAAUGGCAGCGAGUCACAGUAAACUGACAGCCGUCAGGAGCUCUGGAGGGAAAUUGGAAGCCAGACUGUCCACUGCACUGAGUAAGCAGCAGGGCCAUCCUGUUGUACAAAACACAAAGAGCGGAGUGUUCAUGGCAAAUCACCAGGUUUCUCAAAAUGGAAGCAUGAGCUGUGCCCACUGAGCCUCAGGCUUUGCUCCAAGGUCAGGGGACAAAAACCUGACUCUUCGCCUCCAAGGGGGUGCGGCAGCAACACACCCAUUCCUCCCAGGGCCUGAGCAGGGGGCCAGGGUUCUGGAGAUCUGCCGCUUCCCAGUGGGGUGAGCAGCCCAGUGCUGUCCAGGUCCCACACCCUCCCUGGCUUGUAAAUUGGGCUCUGCUUUGCUCUGUGAAAAUUUUCUCUGAGCAGUUAGAAACAGUUGGCUCCUAAAUUUUUCCAGUUUAACUGGCUGGGCCAGUGCCUAAGGCCAUGUUCCAGAUCACAGCUUCAAAGAAAGAAAAGAAAAGGUCAGCAGUCCCCACCUCUCCAGGGCUAGUGGCUCUGAGGAUCCAGCCUCACCAUGCUGGACAGCCCAGAGUGGUGUUUCUGUUUUUGCUCUUGCUCACAGGUCAUAGUCAAGCUUAUUAAACUGGGAUGACAGUAAACCAAAGACUAACUGAUAAUUAAAGCCACAAGUCAGGAGGCGUGGGCAAGUCCCUCCUCUGGAAUCUCUAGUGGCCUGAUCAGUAGGCGAAUGCCCCUUGUUCUCCCCACAGCACAAAAGCUUUUGUGAAUAUAAAACCCUCUGCAUGACUCAACCGCCUCGUGAGGUCACUUCUCCACUUGUCCAUUUCUUCAUCUCCCCACCCCACUGUCCUCAUCCAUUACAAGGACGGAGAAAAUCUAACCACAUUCCCCUGACUGCUGCCUCAACAGGAACAUGACAGAAGGUUUCCAACUAAAACCAAAGUUACUCAGCAGAGCUUCCUGCCAGGCUGACAGGCUGGAGUGCAUAGCAUGCUACCCUUGGCUCUUUCUGGUCUAUGAAAUUUCUCUGCUUCAGUCACUUGAGAGCCUCCCCACUUCCUGAGGAGAGCGGACAAGAACUUCAGAGCAGACAAGGCUGAGCUGAGAGGAAUUCUGUUACUUCAAAGACUGGUUCUCCUGCCAGUCUGAGGUUCUUGGUGAAUGUCUGUCUCCCAUUUCCGACACAGGGUGAAGAGCUACUGAAGUUGACAGUGUCCCCAAAGGUUAAAUACAUCUUGAGAAAUUGCACACAUCUCAUAUAACCAGGAAUGAAUGUUACCAAACCUCUUGUCUCAUCUACCACCUUAUCAUCUGUGAUUAGCAGACUAAGACAUAGCAAACCAGGAGAUCUGGAGACCAAUGAAGACGUUUGAGACAAAGAAAUCCAAUGGAGUUCUAAACAAAGAUGAGAAGUAGAAAGAUGGUCAUCCUGUGAAGUGGCCCCCAACCUCAGACCUGCCCUAGGUGUUACCACCCGCCUCUGGCCUUGUGGCAGGGUGUUGAAGAUGCUCGGGCAUGUCCGCUCUGGACGUCCUGGCCAGGGAGGAAGAGGAAGCAGUCACUGGGGGUGAGCUCAGCGAGGCAGGCAGAAGCAGUGGUGACAGUGAGCACAGUGCACACCAGGGGCGACUGCAGGGAGGUGGCUUAGGACAGAGGAAGCCGCAGAGUGGACUACCUCUGCUGUGGCAGUGGCUUUCUUCUCCCUGCUGUCCCCCAAACACAUUCCAAUUAGAAAAUAGUAAUAAUUGUGCAUAGCUCUGAAGGCAAGUCCAGCAUUCCUGUGUGUAUGUCCAUAACUGUAUGUAAGUCCCACCAGAUUUUUGUUCCUGGGGAGAAAUAUAAGCCACAAACAUAAUGUUGCCUUUCAGUGUUGAAUCACUACUACUUAAGAAGUUAAAGAAAAAAGUGUCAUCAAACCCUCUAUUACCAGCUACAUUUAAGUGAGACCAGUGCAAGGUCCUGCCAGCAGCUGAUGACCAUUUUCCAGAAGGGAAUGCUGGGCGAGAGAGGCCAGUAUUGGGAUGAGGAUGAGAACCACCACUUUGGUGAAGGGUCUUGUUUGUUUACUUGGUUUGUUUGUCUAUUCAUUUAUUUUAAAAUAUUUGAAAGCCUCUGGUUUAUACACAGAUCACCUACUUGAAAUACUACCAAAUGGUAGCAUUAUGGUGAGAGAGAAUUCAGCCACUUUCUGGCCAGUAAUGAGGGUUUCAUUUUAUUCUACUUUUCCAGAGUUUAGAAGUCACUUUGAAGUGAACUCUAAAGAAAUCUUCCCUGGUAUCCCUUGGGUUUGCUGAUCCUAAGACGGGGACCAUGGGCAGAUCCCCUAACACACACUCUGGGGGUUAAGUCCCUGUCCCCCAGGGCACGUGCUGCCAAGGAACCAGGGCCCUCAGCCAGGAGGACUAUGUGUUGGUCAUGAUGAGCCAUCUGGCUGCCUGGGGAAAAGAGCCCUUCGGAACUGGUGUCUGAGACAUUGCUGCCAUCAUCCCUGACCUUUGCCAAGGAGCAGGUUUGAUUUUAUCCAGAAUGGCCAGUCUGGCGGUAAGAAAGGUAAAUGUUCCUUAGAACAUUUUCAGGGAUUAGGCUUAAAACCCUCAGUCUCCAAACUGAACAUUUUCUUGAGCUGUAGGACCUACACUUCACCUGGAUUGUUCUGGGACCUCAUCCUGCUCACCUGCCUCCCCAUCCAGAAGGAGGGGGUCUCUACCCAUCUCACUGUCCUUGCUUAUGUCUUGACCAAUCAUAAAGGCUUGGCUUUUGGUCUUAAAUAAAUGUACAAUUUAAGUAAAAAGAUAAUUUAAUAUACCUUGUAGGAGAAGUCCUUCAGCAAGUCCUUGCUUCGAAAUAAAAUGUCACCCACAAGGUUUUUCUACAUAGAAAUUCUGGAGCCACUGUUCAUCCACUAUGACAUGUGUCAUGAAUAAAUUAUUCCUGAUAGAGUACCAAAGUAUAUAAGUGAUUUACCUUUAAAAAAUAAAUGAUAGCACAGGGUUG